rnacentral:rRNA from 1 species
GAUGAACGCUGGCGGCGUGCUUAACACAUGCAAGUCGAACGAAGACAUCUGAGUGCUUGCACUUGGAUGGACUGAGUGGCGGACGGGUGAGUAACGCGUGGGUAACCUGCCUUAUACAGGGGGAUAACAGUUGGAAACGACUGCUAAUACCGCAUAAGCGCACGGUAUCGCAUGAUACAGUGUGAAAAACUCCGGUGGUAUAAGAUGGACCCGCGUCUGAUUAGCUUGUUGGUGAGGUAACGGCCCACCAAGGCGACGAUCAGUAGCCGGCCUGAGAGGGUGAACGGCCACAUUGGGACUGAGACACGGCCCAAAACUCCUACGGGAGGCAGCAGUGGGGAAUAUUGCACAAUGGGGGAAACCCUGAUGCAGCGACGCCGCGUGAGUGAUGAAGUAUUUCGGUAUGUAAAACUCUAUCAGCAGGGAAGAUAAUGACGGUACCUGACUAAGAAGCACCGGCUAAAUACGUG